rnacentral:lncRNA from 1 species
AUGUCCGGGCAGAGGCGUGGAAAGACCUUGAUCAUCACCGAUGAUGAGGAAGAGGAGGAGGGGCAGGCGGAGGACCUGAACCCGUUCUCCUUCAGGGAGUUCAUGCGCUGGAAGACUCACGACGGCGACCCGGAGCAGGACCAGAACCAAGUGGAGAGGAACAUGCCUCACCUGGAUGCGGACAUCAGCAGCUGCUUCCUAUCUGAGACUCACCUGGCAACGCAGGAGGAGGAGGAGUGGGGGCGGAGCUUCCAGUCAGGCGUGGAGAGCACCUCCUCCCUGUGCACUGAAGAUGAUGAAGAGGAGGAGGAGGAGGAGACCCGGUUCUCCUCUAAGCCUGAAGGACACACAGAGAACUAUGAGGGAGACGAUGAGACCUCCCUGGCCGAGGCAGCCCCCACCUGCAGGAGGAGGACUGCUCAGAUGCAGCAGCUGAAGGAGGAGAACCAGACUAUGAGGAGGACGCUCAGGGAGCUGCAGAGGAGAGCCGAGGCUGACCAGCGCAGGGUGACACAGCUGACAGAAGAGCUGCUGCAGAGGAGGCGUCAGGAGGAGAAGGAGGCGCAGGAUCUUGAGAACAUGGUUCACUCUGUGGAGCAGAACCUGCAGCUGAUGACGGUGAGAUGACGCACAGUCCUGAUGGUUUGAUCUGACAGAGAGAGACAGGUGUUUGGUUUGAGGCAGAGUCCCCCUGAAGGACGGCGUGCUCAAAGCCACGCCCCUUUGUUAGCAUUGGCUGUCCUCAGAGCAGACGAGAGGGUUGGCUGUGGAUGACGUCAGGCGUGAAAGCUCACCUGAACGGUGGUGCCGACCAGAAUAGAUAAUCAUUUCUGGAGUCAGAAUGCAGACCGGCUCCAAAAGAACCAAAAGGCUCACAAGCAGAACCAUGUGGUGGUUUGAUUCC